rnacentral:ncRNA from 25 species
UAAAGUAUGCGCGGCAAUGGUAGCCGGAACACCGGCUUGAAAAGGGAAUCCCGUGCAAUGCGGGAGCGGACCCGCCGCCGUAAGGUUCAUGAACCUCGCACCAUGCAGCGCCACUGGAAACGGGAAGGCCGGGGCGGGGGAACCAAGCCGGAAGACCUGCCUUGCCCUGCGGCCCGCGC